GCUUUCGGGCUCCACCGGCUGCCGCUCCGUGUUUUCCCCCAUCCCGGUUUCACGUUCAAGGUUUAGCUGCGAGGUCACGUCCAUUGACGUCAGCUCCCUGUCUCCCUCUACGUCCGGCUACAUUUACAUACAUCAAGGAAAUUAGGGCAUUAAAAAAAAUAUGCAAAUCCUGCGCGAAGAGGAGCGGGUGCAUUCCUGGAGCGACCGCCUUUUAUUGAAGCUUUUAAUUAAAGGGGCCAGUUGGCUAGCCCCUGAAACAACCGCCAAAAUCCCCCAAAAGAGAAAAAUAAACGCUGUAGCCUUCGGGAACGGUUGUUUCGGCUCCUGUUCUGUGGGCGGCUGAGGACCGCCGGCUGCCCUGCUCCGAGAACAGUUUCUUGUGUUGCUGGAAAUCAAGGCGCUACCAAGAAAUGCCAGCAAAAGGAAGAGAAGGAAAACUGGUUUCAGGCCUCAGGACGACACUGAAGAAAGAGCUUGUAAGGACAGGCCAGUCUGGGGUCCCUUUAUUCUGACCUGGGAAACAGUGACAACAGGGUUGGCCCUAAGGUUGUGAAUUUGAAUUAUUCAUUAGUCACUAGGACUAAAUUAUCAUCCAGAGGCAAGUGACACACGUGUUUUCUUGAACAAUUAUUAUCACUAAUCAUCAUUUUCUACAGUAAUUUGUAUGCUCUCAUUAUUAGCCCUUGAUUUCUAUGUAAAUCCUUUUCAUAAAACUGCCACAAGAUGGAAGCUUUCUAAAUUGAUUCUCUUUACCUCUUGAUACGUUUCUUGGCAUUUUUGGACUCUUCAUCUGGCACUUAACGGUUGGGUUUUCAGAUUAGGCUGACUGUGGCAUGCCCACACAGACCAUCCUCUCACCAAGCAUAUUGCGUUUGCAGAGGAGGUCACCUUCUCCCACCUUCUGCCAUAUUGAAUCCAUAUUUUUUAAUAUAUCAAUUGUCUGAACAUUGACUCUCACACUUUCCCCUUUUUAAUUUUUGUCAGAAAACUAAUGAACGCUUUGGUCAGAAAACCUAAUGGUAGUUGUCCUGAGUCUUCAAUAAGCAAGAAAUGGAGGUUCAAGAUGAAUCUUUAUCAAGACAAUAAAGAAGACAACUGACCAUCAAGACAAAAGUACUCGUCUGUUUCUGUGUCAUCUUUUAUACCAACAUACACGUAUAUUGACUUCAGAAAGGGUGGCUGAGAAAAACCACAGGACAUCUUUCUACAUGGUUAGGAACCCCAUCAACCUGAAGCCAAGGGAUCGCUCUUGCACCAUUGGAGAAAUGAAGGUUUCUUCAGAUCUUCUGGCCGGCAUCACACACUGCUUGCUUGCUUGGGUGUACAGAGCCUUGAGGUGAUGAUGGACCAUGAAGGAGCAAAAUUCAAGCUCCUGUUUCCAGUUUGCCAUGCUUUUGCUCGCCAGUCCCACCAGAGGUCAGGGCAUACAUUUCACUCUUGCCCUGUCAGUGUUCUUCAAACUUCAUCUCGUCCUGCCGGCCGACCCACCUGAAGGCAUGACCAUCACUAAAUAUAAAUCCAUAUACAGUCCAGUGUCUUCAAGCAAGUAAGUAGCAUAGCAUUUCCAGAAAAGACUUCCAAGGAAUGGCCAUGGUUUGAUCGGGUAGUAGGCAGGUUGGGGGAACAAAGGCUGAGAACCCUUUAAA